UCCAGUGCUCCCCAUUUCCCUGUCCAUCCCGUACAGUUCCCCCUCCCAUUCUCCCUGCUGUCCUUCUGGGACCCCGCAUAACACUGAGCCUCCUCCCUUCCCCUUUUUGAUACAGCUGAACCCAACAGGAUUUCCAAGGCCAAUGAGGUCCAGGUGGCACCCAGUGAUAACAAGAGGCUGACCUGCACUGAGCUGCAAGCUGCGAUCCCCAGCUUCUGCUGCCCUGGGGCCAGCACGGUUCCCCAGCACCCGGUUAUCUGCCCUGGAGUGGUCUCUGGGGGACCCCUUUGUUGUCCCCCACACCGGCUGCGUCAUUUCUGGAGUGCCCCUAUGGGGACAAACACCAGGUUCCCAGCUUGGGGCUCCUUGACGCCAUCUGCUCCCCCCAUCCCACUAAUCCCCCCCAAAGUGACAUCCCCAAAUUCCUACUGCUGUACACCAAAUCGUCCCUAAUCCCACCCAGUCCCUAAACAAUCAUCGCUGCUGUUGAAAUCCUUCCUUAUCACCCCUGAAUAGCUUAACACCCCUGGACACCCUCAAAUCCCCCCAGUCCACCCCCCAAACCCCACCAGCACUCUUGUAGGACCCUCACAUCUCCCAAAAUCUGCACCAAACUCCACCCCCCGCCCUAAGGAACCCCUCGAUUGCUCCCAACCCACCACCAAAGCCCCCAUAAGACCAAGGUGAUCUGUAACAACAGGUGUGCACCACCCCACAUGUUCAAAUUCCAGGUGUGUUCAGACAGGGGUGUGCACAAACACGUGUGCAUUGUGUGGGCACAUGCACUGCAAGGCUGCAAAGCGCAGGUGUGUUGUGUGUUCAUCAUCACACGUGCACUUCAUUCCUACACCACUGCAGGUGCUCACGUGCAUUCUGUGUGUGCAUUGUAACAUGUGCACAAUAGAUGUACACAGAUGUGGACAUCAUGCUUUAUGCUCUGGCUCCGUGUGUGCACAAUGUAACCUGUGUACACCAAUACACGUCCCCGAUCCUGCAAACAUGCAUCCUUAGCACAUGCUCCGUGUCUGUACGGGUGUCACUGCAUCCCCAGCAGGUUCCUGAUGCUGCCCCAGUGGGGAUGGCAGAGGACAGGCGUGUGGCAAGGGGACAGCACAGGGGGAUAUGAGUGGCUGCAGGGACAAGAGGGCUGUGAGUGCACACUGCUGCCUCAUGUCCAUCUUCUAAUCAAUCAGAACCCCCACAUCCUUCUCUGCAGCGCUGCUCUCAGGGAGUUCUUCUCCCAGUCUGUACUCAGCCCCGGCAUUGCCCCAACCCGAGGGCAGCACCCUGUACUCAGCAUCGUUGAAUCUCAGGAGGUUCAGCAGUCCACAGAACCCCUGGGAAUCUGUCCUCAAGGACAGGGAGCAGAGCAGAGCUGGCACAUCUGGAAGGACGCUUUCCUCAGGGCACAAGAGCUCUCCAUGCCCAGGUGCAGGCAGUCAGGAAAGGAAGGCAAGAGAGCGUCACGGCUGAGCUGGGACCUGCUGGUCCAAGUGGAGAGCAAGAAGCACAUGCACAGGCAGUGGCAGCAGGGACAGGAGCCUGGCAGGAGGACAGGGAUUGUGCUGGGCUGUGUGGGGAUGAGGUCAGGAAGGCCAAGGCCCAACUGUAACUGGACUUGGCCAGGGGAGCAAAGAAGAACAAGAAAGGCUUUGACAGGCCUGUAUACCUGAGAAGGAAAGUCCAGGAGGACGUACCCCCCCAAGUGAGCAAUGCAGGCAGGCUGGUAACAACGGACAAGGAGAAGGCUGACUCCUCAAUGUGGUAUAGGGGUUCCGGACACAGCCUCUGUGUGUCAGUAGAUUCAGCCAGACUGGAAAAUGCUGGCUGGCAUUCUGAGACCAAGGCAAGGUCCAUCCCUUGUUCCUAUCCUCUGAAUUUAGACCACAGAAAUCUGGGCUGGAAAUCUUUCCCAUCCAGCACUGGGAUGGUGCCCAUGGUUGUGAGCCCAAGCCAUUUGCGGUGGCGAAGGGCACAACCUGCACCUUUGCAGCUGCUCAGGAACAGGGGAGCAGCCCAGCACCGGCAUUUCCCUGCCAGCCAUGGCUUGACCCUGUUCGCACCUC